rnacentral:rRNA from 1 species
AGCACAGUAAGAGCUUGUCUUAUGGGUGGCGAGUGGCGGACGGGUGAGGAAUACAUCGGAAUCUACUUUUUCGUGGGGGAUAACGUAGGGAAACUUACGCUAAUACCGCAUACGACCUUCGGGUGAAAGCAGGGGACCUUCGGRCCUUGCGCGAUUGAAUGAGCCGAUGUCGGAUUAGCUAGUUGGCGGGGUAAAGGCCCACCAAGGCGACGAUCCGUAGCUGGUCUGAGAGGAUGAUCAGCCACACUGGAACUGAGACACGGUCCAGACUCCUACGGGAGGCAGCAGUGGGGAAUAUUGGACAAUGGGCGCAAGCYUGAUCCAGCCAUACCGCGU